GCCGCCCACAACCCUCUCCCUUAACCAGCCCGCCAUACAAUUUAUGGCCGGAACUCUUUUAACAUUAAAGGUUUAAGGAUAUUUUGAGGCCUGUUUCUGUGUCGGGGUGUGGGUUCAUGGGCCGCAGUGCUGCUGCCCCUUUAAGGCCUGUUUGUGUGUAGGGGUGUGGGUGCAGGGACUGCUCUGAGACAGAAACAUUAUUUGAAUAUUUAUGAGCUGAUGAUCUGAAGGCAAGUGUGACAGAAAAAGACAAUCCCUGCCGCUCUUGGAGCCUAAAAAUCACUUUACCAGGCAGCUUCUCUCUGCCAAGGACUCUGACUGGAAGCAUUGGAAACAGGCAAGAUACUAAAGUGGAAGAUGGGAGGAAGGUAUUCAAGUCUACUGGACGGAAGACAGCGCAGGUACCUGAGAGGUCGCAGCGAUGCCACAGUGAAGAAUUUCAUGCCCUAUUAUCAGAGGCAACUUGCAACGACCUUUCUGAGACGGGUCUCAAAGGAGCUGGACCCGCAAGGCAAACCUGCUCUACAGCUGCUGCAGAGCAAACUCCAGAAGCCACCUGAUGCUCUUCUGCAUGAGGGAUUCCUGACGCAGUAUAAUGGGGACACCUGCAAGUGGAAGAAGAGUUAUUUCAUUUUGCUGGGAAACUGUACCCUGGAGUGGUUUGAUAGUAAAGAGGCCCAGGGAAAAGGAUAUAAGCCCAGAGGAUCCACCACUCUGUCCGGAUACUUGCUGGUGACCUCACUCAGUGAAUACAACAGGCUGAUUGACAGUCUCUGCCAGGGAUUAGUAGUUGACUACACCCACCGAGACCAAGACCCCUUAAAUGGGCCUCCAGAAGAGUUUCUGCUGUUCCUUUAUCAUCCGUUCCGAAAGUCCUUCUGUUUCUGCACAAACUCUGCAAAAUCCCAGCACGCCUGGAAAUCCGUCCUUCGAGAUGGGAUCCGAUAUUGCAGCACAGUUUUACAGAGACAGGACUCCUUUGAAGUAGAGGCUUUCCUGGAAGCUGUGCGAUUUUACAGGCAAGAGAAAGGUAGUUACGGAGCAGGGGAUCUCCUCCUGGGAACACAGCCUGAGAUUCUCAGUAAUGUGCUGAUGGAGGAUUUGCUUCCAGUGCUGCAGUCUCAAGUCCCCCCAAAUCUCAAAGGAUCAGAAAGCAGGAAGAAACAGACCUGGUGCCAGUUCCUAGAGGAGGUUUAUACAUUGGUCCUCAGCCAGGUCUCCAGCGAAUUUCUGGAUUUUCAGAGGGAGAAUGAGAAACUCCACAUUCAAUUGGAAAAGAAGAUUCGCCCUGAUCUGGAUCAGAUGCUGAUUUUAAAGGAUCAGAUAUCUAUGAAACUCCAAGCGGUGAUCCAGAACCCAGUGGAAUCCUGCUGUCACCAAGGAGUAGAGCCUGACCUGGACUGUGUGAUGGAGGAGCUCAUACGCCCCAUUAGCUUAGGAUUUGACAUGGUGCGUUCGCUCUUCACAGACAGAAUUGAUGAGAUGAUCAGACAUGUGCAGAGUUUGCCUACCACAGUCUUCCAGAAAGAGGUUCUCACACUUGGGGAAAUGCCCUGGAAACCUGGAUUCAUGGAGCCAUGUUACGAGAAGGCUAAUCUCUACAAAGACAGUCUGCAAGGACUGAAGGAGAAAUUUCGCUUUCACGGUGUGACAAGUUUAGUCCUUGGAGCCCAAAACCUCAUGCAGCAGCUAAUGCAGAAUUCGGUCCAUACGUUCCACCAGCUUUCAGAGCAACAUCUGAGCUUGGCAACUAACCACAGCCAAAUCACCCAGACUCUGGAAAAGAUCAAAACUCGUGUGCUGAAGAAAUUUGACCAUGACAGCAGUUCCACCAGGAAGCAGUUUGCACAAGAGUGGCUGGUUCAGAUCUUUCUUCCCUUUCUGCUGAAGAAUCUGGAGCCGAGAUGUAAACUGGAGCUGCCCAAGUAUGAAAAUUACGUGUUUGCUGACUUCAGUGGCAUCAUCAAUGUUGAAAAUAUUUAUGAAGAAAUGAUUCUGGCUGUUUUGCAGCAGGCAGUCACCAAAGCCUUGAAAGAGGCUUCAAGUCAAAACAGACAUAAUCUUUACAGUGAUAGCUUCUCCUGUGUUCUGGAUAGCGUGGACAACUUGCUGCAGCAGGACAGAGUCCAGGAACACCCUGAAAUAAGGACAGGAGCCUUGGGUGGUAAUGCCACAUCAGACACCGUGAACCUCAUGUCCUGUCAAGUCAGUGAGACCAUUUCAGACAAGAAAGCAUGGAAAGAUGAAGGAAGCUCAGCUGAGGCUGAAAAUCCUCCCAAAGAUAAAGGGCAGAUCUGCCCAGUAACUUCCCAUUGCCAUAAAGAAGCAGAAAAAUCUUUGAGGGUGUUGCCUGAUGGUAGGAAUUGGAGACACAAGAAGGUCUUGGAACCAGACAUAGGAAGCAGCUGCAUUACUGAACCUGCAGGACAUGUUGCAGAGAAGACUGCAGUUGUGUCUGAGGCUGAAAGCAAUAUGUGCACAGAGGACCCAAAUGAAAACAAAUGUAAUAACAAGUCAUGGAACCCUUUUGCAAGGAGCAAAGAUCUACAAGAGCCACAGAACAUCAUAAAUGAACAUUCUGUAGACAAAGCUGCUGUAGAGAAAAUACGAGAGGAAUGGGGGAGGGCAGUGUUUGAGCAAGGAGGUCAAGGGCAGGAUGGAGAAUUAGAGUUAAAUCCAGCUUGGAUUAAAGGAGCAGGACAGAGUGGUAAGAAUAACCAAAAAUACAGAGAGUUAUUGCAGGAUCAAGAAGGUCCCUGCGAGGUAUCUUGUAACUACACUUUUUUUGCAAGUACAAGUAUGUCCAAGAACCAGAGUCCAAGCCCAGAUAGUACAAAUUCUGACAACUCUCAGGCUAACUGUUGGCCUAAUACCAAUUCAUUGCAGGUUAUAGGUUUGGACAGAGAUACAUAUAGGGACAAUGGAGGUUUAACAGGGGGAAAAUUACAAAUAUCAGCAACAAAUCAUGUGGCAUCAAUUGAGUGGGACGGAGACAAGUUAGGAGAAAAUCAGAGCAGUUGGGAAAUGCAAACAAUAUCAGUGGGUGAAGGCAAAUGCAGGGUCAGGGAAGCUUGCAAUGGGCAAAUGAUCUCUCCCGGUCAAUUUUCUGUGAAAGAAACGAGGGAUGCCACUUGGACACACCGACUUCAGGAACAUGGUGAUGAAAUGAUCGCAGAAUUACGUGUCCAAAAGUUGGUUCCUGCGGAGGGUCUGGAAAGAAAGAUCUAUCAGCUGGAGCUAGGGCACAAUGUUCAGGAGGAAUUCAAGGGGCAUAGGCAUGCAGGUGGACUGGCUGAAGGUAAGUCUGCUCCCUUUUUACUCACUGGAAGCCUGAGAUAUGAAGAUGAGCAUGAGGGUCCUGUCCCUGGGCACCAAGAAGAAUCUAGUCAAGUAACCUGCCAGACCUUGCAGUCCCAACAGGAAAUGAACAAGGAGGAGAUGACAGAGGCAGACUUCAAUGAGCUAGACAAGACUGUUUUUCUAGAGUGUCUAUCCAUAGCUAUCGAAAUGGAAAUCUUCCAAACAGAUCUGCUGGAAAUGGAUCUCGAAGACAGCAGAGACCAGGGAAGUGGUUGUCAACAAACUGAACCUCUGAAAUAGAAGUACAAGGAGCAAGAUCCAACUGACAUUGACCCUCAUGGAGCAGAGACAUGACAAAGCUUAAUACACACAUUCAACUUUCCUGAUACAAUGAUGGAUGCUUCAUAUCCCUAUAUUAGCAAAUAAUGGAGAGUGCCAAGGCAACUGAGGCUAUGAAGGGGCUGCCAGUUACAUGGCAGUUGCAGGUUCACAGGUGGUUCAGCAGCACUGACCAAGACUUAGUGGGAGAUGCAGAGAUUUUCAGUCUCAAGGCCUUACAAAUGUGAAUUGAAAGAACUGGAAUUGGUCUGGCUUCUCAGAGCAGAAAACUAAGCAAAAGCUGAGGGAUUGGAAAGGAAUGAACUGCUCCUUUGUGAACAUUUAUGUAAGACAUGUAAUAUUUAUGCAUAUCAUAUAGUGUAUCUUAAUACCCUCAUGCUCUUAAUUCUCACCUUUCUGCCCUUUGUCCCGGUGUGGCUUUUAAUUCUAUUAGUAAGUGAUAAUACUGAAGGUGUUUGUAAGGGGCCUUCAAGUCAGGGUGUGUAUACAAUACAGUAUUCUGUGGUUAUCUCACGGUAUUGAUGUCCUGGAACAGUGUUUCAGAGAGAGACAACAGAAAUUCUGCAGCUACGAAGACAUCACCAAUAACCCUUCCCAGUUUCUUCAAACAGCAGCAUACACUGAUACAGUUUCUGUCCUGUUCCCAGGGCCAGCUGUAGGCACCAGCGUUCCAAGCACGUGCUUGGGGCGGCACUCCGUGUUUGUUUGGUUUUUUUGCUUGGGGCGGCAAAAAGCCUAGAGCCGGCCCUGCCUGUUCCACUCCCUUUGUGACUCAGGCAGUGCAAAGAGAGUGAAGCCUAGCCCCAUUCCGCUAACUUGGGGCUUCCUGCGAGUACAGAGCUGACACAAUCAGAUCCUCUCACCCUCCUUGGAGCCCCCAGUGCAGUAGGGAGGAUGGAGGUUAUUAGGAAUGGAAGAGGGAGUAGCUGGAGUGUGCUUCGCUACAGCCAUGCUCAGGUGGAAAAAUGGGGCUCCACAUUAUGCAUUGCCAAGCAUAAACUCAAAACAAAAAAUCUGCUCCACUGUAUCUAGCUUCUUUGAAUUUGUUUCUUCCAAGGCAGUUAUAGCAGGGGAAGACAGUGAAGUGGUGUCAUCACUGAUACUUUGGGCCCAACCCUGCUGCUGUUGAAAUUAACAACUCAUGGAGUUCAAUGAGCAGGAUUGGGCCCAUUGUGUAAUAAGGCUCAAGGAGACUGUCUUACAGUGGCCACAAGGAUACCUAUUUAAUCCGUUUAUUACGUUUUGCUAAGCUGGACUGACCCACAGAACCUGAAGUUCAUUGGAAUGGUUGCCAUAACAGAGGUAAUAUCUGUUUUAUAUGUAAAACUUCACCCCAAAAUAGAAGCUACUAAUUUAAAACUUCAGGUAUGUAAAAACCUCUUAGUGAAUUUUUAGUAAUGUUCAUGCCUCAUGCUGACCUGUAAUUUGCUAAGAGAAGGGAACUCUAUCUAGUGUUGUCUUUUUCUAAUCCCCACCAUGCUGUUAAACUUUAAGUUUUUAAACUUUUAUUACAAUAUAUGGCUUAUUAUUUAAUCCAUAAAAGCCUAUGUAUCUUAUACCAACAGGUGUUUACAGUUAAGUACUAAUAUCGUUAGAUAGUGAUGUAAAAAUAUGUAAUCUGGUGUAGUUAUUUGAAUAAACCUAUUAACAUUCAAAGUGUGGUGUUUACAAAACUGUCACUUUAUAAUUUUGUGGUUUUCAAAAAGGGAACAAAUGCAUUCAUGUUUCUGUAUUUCAUAAACACAAUUUCUUGUGCAUCCACCCCACUGAGAUGACUCUUAACUGCUAAUCAAAUGAUACUAAUGAUUUUCCAUGGACUGAAGUUGCACUGAUUGAUAAGAAUCAAAUCACCGGCUUUUAGGUUGCAAUUACUUUACUAACUGCAUUCAUUUCACAUCUUGCACUUUGAAAUUUGGUCUUAUUGAAACCACGGUCUUUUAAGACCCCCAGUGCUAACCUAGUUAUUCAUUCUCUUCAGUACAGGUUUUGUACAAUUCCACAUGGUCCAUUUGUAGGAAACUGGAAUUUAUGCCUUACUUCUUGUUCAAAACAUCUGUUUUACAGUUUGAAUUGGUUGCACUAGUGAGUUGGUGGUGGUUGGUUUUGGAUGAUAUUGCAUUUUAGCUGUAUAUUUUUAAAGAGAAAAUGUAACAUUAGCCACUGUUGUCAGCUGAUACUGAC